rnacentral:rRNA from 1 species
GACGAACGCUGGCGGCGUGCUUAACACAUGCAAGUCGAACGGAAAGGCCUGCUUUCCCUUGUGGAUUGCGGGUACUCGAGUGGCUAACGGGUGAGUAACACGUGAGUGGUCUGCCCCCAACUUGGGUAUAAGCCUGGGAAACUGGGUCUAAUUCCCGAUAGGACUGCAGGGUGGUUCCUGUGGUGGAAAACGAUUUUCUAGUGGUUGGGGAUGAGCUCGCGGCCUAUCAGCUUGUUGGUGGGGUAAUGGCCUACCAAGGCGGCGACGGGUAGCCGGCCUGAGAGGGUGGACGGCCACAUUGGGACUGAGAUACGGCCCAGACUCCUACGGGAGGCAGCAGUGGGGAAUAUUGCACAAUGGGCGGAAGCCUGAUGCAGCGACGCCGCGUGGGGGAUGACGGCCUUCGGGUUGUAAAAUCCUUUCGACCGCGAGGAAGCCACCUGGUUGGAAGGGUGGUGACGGUAGUGGUAGAAGAAGCACCGGCUAACUACGUG